CGUCAAGUCAGCAUGGCCUUUAUAUCCUGGGCUACACACACGCUACAAUGGCCGGUACAAUGGGUCGCCAAGCCGCGAGGCGGAGCCAAUCCCGCAAAGCCGGUCACAGUUCGGAUUGCAGGCUGCAACUCGCCUGCAUGAAGCCGGAAUCGCUAGUAAUCGCGGAUCAGCAUGCCGCGGUGAAUACGUUCCCGGGCCUU
rnacentral:rRNA from 1 species